AAAAGCUUUCUUUAAUUGAGUAAUUGAAUUUAAUUUUUUAGUGCAAAAGCAAAAAUAAAAAUUAGGGACAAGAAGACCCUAUGAAUUUUUAUUAAAUUUUAUAAAACUUUAUAUAAAAUUUAAUUUAAUUGGGGUGAUGGAAAAAGAAUAAAUAUCUUUUUUUUUAAAAAAAAUUGGUUCCGUUUUUAGCGAUUAAAUGAAAAAAAUACUCUAGGGAUAACAGCGUAAUAAUUUUGGAUAGUUCAUAUAGAUAAAAUAGUUUGCGACCUCGAUGUUGGAUUAGGAUUCUUUUUUGGNGAANAAGUUAAAAAAA
rnacentral:rRNA from 1 species